UAGGGAAACUUCGGCAAUGGACGAAAGUCUGACCGAGCAACGCCGCGUGAGUGAAGAAGGUUUUCGGAUCGUAAAACUCUGUUGUUAGAGAAGAACAAGGACGUUAGUAACUGAACGUCCCCUGACGGUAUCUAACCAGAAAGCCACGGCUAACUACGUGCCAGCAGCCGCGGUAAUACGUAGGUGGCAAGCGUUGUCCGGAUUUAUUGGGCGUAAAGCGAGCGCAGGCGGAUUCUUAAGUCUGAUGUGAAAGCCCCCGGCUCAACCGGGGAGGGUCAUUGGAAACUGGGAGACUUGAGUGCAGAAGAGGAGAGUGGAAUUCCAUGUGUAGCGGUGAAAUGCGUAGAUAUAUGGAGGAACACCAGUGGCGAAGGCGGCUCUCUGGUCUGUAACUGACGCUGAGGCUCGAAAGCGUGGGGAGCAAACAGG
rnacentral:rRNA from 1 species